rnacentral:lncRNA from 1 species
AUAGUUACAUUUUGACUUUUUCUUUCGAGACAUCAGUGCACACAUGCUUGAAUUUAUAGGCAAAUGAAAAAACGAGAGACAUUUAGAAAGGUUUAGAGGAGAAUGGGAUAUCUGUAUGGAUAAGUCAUUCCUCAUAUAAUCCUCAAAGGAGAUGUGAUAUGAGAAUGUCAGGAUGAAACACGAGAUACACAAAGGGUGCCCCAGCUUGAUGUUUUGGAAAAUGAGCCGGGGUAUGGAAAUUAGGGUGAAAUUUCAAAUGAGAUUUGCAAAGUUGCUCCAGUCUUGAGGUUAUGGAUUGAUGAAAAACUCGUGUGAGACUUACAAAGUUGUCCCAGUUUUUUUUUUGGCAUAGGGUUCUGUUUGGAAGAGGUAAUGGGCUAAAAGGAUGACCCCCAAUUGGUUUAACUUUCCUUUGCGUGCUUUUGGCUAGUU